AUUGAACGCUGGCGGCAUGCCUUACACAUGCAAGUCGAACGGCAGCACGGGUGCUUGCACCUGGUGGCGAGUGGCGAACGGGUGAGUAAUACAUCGGAACGUACCUUAUCGUGGGGGAUAACGCAGCGAAAGCUGUGCUAAUACCGCAUACGCCCUGAGGGGGAAAGCGGGGGAUCGAAAGACCUCGCGCGAUUAGAGCGGCCGAUGCCUGAUUAGCUUGUUGGUGGGGUAAAAGCCCACCAAGGCGACGAUCAGUAGCUGGUCUGGGAGGACGAUCAGCCACACUGGGAAUGAGACACGGCCGAGACUCCUACGGGAGGCAGCAGUGGGGAAUUUUGGACAAUGGGGGCAACCCUGAUCCAGCAAUGCCGCGUGAGUGAAGAAGGCCUUCGGGUUGUAAAGCUCUUUUGUCAGGGAAGAAACACCGGCUCUAACACAGUCCGGGAAUGACGGUACCUGAAGAAUAAGCACCGGCUAACUACGUGCCAGCCGCCGCCGUAA
rnacentral:rRNA from 1 species